rnacentral:misc_RNA from 1 species
CCAUGAUAGGGUCGGGAUUGGCUGGCUCUGGAGGCGCAGGUGGUCCUUCUUCUACUGUCACAUGGUGCGCGCUGUUUUCUAAUCACGUGGCUGCCACCCAGCGUAGGCCGCAUGAGUGGGGGGCGGGC